rnacentral:tRNA from 3 species
GCCCCAGUAGUUCAAUGGAUAGAACGGUGGAUUCCUAAUCCGCAGAUGUAGGUUCGAUUCCUACCCGGGGUACCA